AUGAUGGCAUUCAAAGGACAACAUGUCUACCUAAUACAAUAUUCUUAAAGUUAAAAUUUCAUUUCCUGCUUGUGGCAUCGUUAGGAAGUUCUACAAGUCUCAAAUGAGAAAACAUCCAU
rfam:Triticum aestivum genome assembly, contig: Triticum_aestivum_CS42_TGACv1_scaffold_332374_4BS